UACAGAGGGUGCAAACGUUGCUCGGAAUCAUUGGGCGUAAAGCGCACGUAGGCGGCUCAGCAAGCGGGGAGUGAAAGCCCUCGGCUUAACCGAGGAAGUGCUUUCCGAACUACUGAGCUUGAAUACCGGAGAGGAUCGCGGAAUUCCCGGUGUAGAGGUGAAAUUCGUGGAUAUCGGGAGGAACACCAGUGGCGAAGGCGGCGAUCUGGACGGAUAUUGACGCUGAGGUGCGAAAGCGUGGGGAGCAAACAGG
rnacentral:rRNA from 1 species